GUUGACCUCGGAUCAGGUAGGGAUACCCGCUGAACUUAAGCAUAUCAAUAAGCGGAGGAAAAGUA
rnacentral:rRNA from 1 species